rnacentral:misc_RNA from 1 species
AACGCAAAUUGCACUCUUCGGUUUUUCCGAGAGUAUGCCUGUUUGAGGGUCGGUAAAAUGAAAUAUCGAUUUGUUGCUUAUUGCAACAUUUCGGAGUUGGGUUAACUUAAUAUUUUUAAGUGACCUAAAAUUCAUUACCUCGGUAUGAUUAACGUUCUUAAAUGAUUUCGUUUUGAAUGCCGAAUUUCUUAUUAGACGGUGACUAUUUUAGCAUCACUUCUAUAAUUUUUGAAUUUCGACCUCAAAUCAAGUAAGAAUACCCGCUGAACUUAA